rnacentral:rRNA from 1 species
UUCUUAUAAAAUUUAUAAUAAGUAUAACCUGCCCGGUGUAAAUUUUAAACGGCUAUAUAAUAAUAUUAAAGUAGCGUAGUAAAUUGUCAUUUAAUUAAUGAAUAUAAUGAAGGUAUUAUGAAUUAAAUUCUGUCUUUAAGAAAUAAAAUAAAAUUAAUAAUAUAGUGAAAAAUCUUAAUUAUUUUUAAAAGACGAUAAGACCCUAUAGAACUUAUUUAAAACUUUAAAUUUGCUGGGGAAGUAAAAAUAAAAAAGAAAUUAUUUUUAAAAAAAAAAAUUAUAGAUUUUUAUUUAUAACCAUAAUAAAUUGAAAUGAAUAAAAAGUUACCUUAGGGAUAACAGCAUUAAAAGUAUAAAAAGUCCUUAUUUUAAUAUUUUUUAAUGACCUCGAUGUUGAAUUAAGAUAGAUUAAAAAAGUAAAAAUUUUAUUUAUCAAGUCUGUUCGACUUUUAAAAUCUU